rnacentral:lncRNA from 1 species
GAGCUCUAGCAUUUGAUUCAUAAUCGGAGCCAGAGUAAUAGUACAAGAUUUCAGCAGCUGCGUAAUACUGGGAACGAGAUGAUCCAUAAAGUCAGCUAUUAGAUGCCUAUUUUUCACCAGAUCUGAAAUGUCUGAUGAUCUUGAUAACUUUGCAGCAGUCAAGACAUGGAUGUAAGUUUCCCGGACCUGGGGAUCACUAGGAUUAAUCAUCUCAUCUAUUAGUCGAUAUAUUUGACGUGUUGUUUGAUCCCAUACUUCAUUAUCUGUGGGACAGUAACAUGUAGAAGACAGAAGUAAUGCAUUGAUAGCCAUCACUUCAGCGUGAAUCAAGAGAUCUAUCAGUUGCUGACCCUUGACACCGCGAAGCACGGCCAAGAGAACGAAGCUUUUCAAGAACAUUAGCUUCUUUCCAAGGCAUUUGAAAUGGAAUCUAUUCAUUUUCGCCAGAGUCUUUAAAACCGAAUCAAUGAAAUCAAUAACUAGCUCU